CCGCUUUGGCCUCCGUUCUGGGCGGUGUGUUUGAUGUGGGCAGCUGGCCUAGACUUGCACGAACUGUGGGAAACAAACAGCACACGAAGGGAAGACCCAAAUGAUUCCAGGCUCCACGCAGGUACUCACACGCCCUUAAGGCUUUUAGAGUUUUUACCAGGACUCUGGGUAUCACUUAAAAGAAAACCUACACAAGAGUUUCAAGCAAAACAAAGGCAGAGCGAAUAAGCGGACCAACCCUCUUCCCCAUUCCUCCCUUGCGUCCAUCAGCCAAACCAGCUUUGGCAAGAGCUGGAAAGAACGGCGUUCCAGGAAAGAGCCCUGUUCCUGGCAGGAGGACAAGUGCACAUGACUAACGCCUACUCUGCUCACCAAGGGAAAAGGCCUGCUUUUAAAAAGAAAAAUAAAUAAUGCCAG